rnacentral:rRNA from 1 species
GACGAACGCUGGCGGCGUGCUUAACACAUGCAAGUCGAACGAAGUGGCGAACGGGUGAGUAACGCGUAAUCAACCUGCCCUUCAGAGGGGGACACCAGUUGGAAACGACUGCUAAUACCGCAUACUGAAGGAGGGGAUUGCGUCUGAUUAGCUAGUUGGAGGGGUAACGGCCCACAAAGGCGAUGAUCAGUAGCCGGUCCUGGGGGAUGAACGGGCACAUUGGGACUGAGAAACGGCCCAGACUCCUACGGGAGGCAGGAGUGGGGAAUUUUCCGCAAUGGGCGGAAGUCUGACGGAGCAACGCCGGGUGAGGGAUGACGGCCUUCGGGUUGUAAAGCUCUGUUAAUCGGGACGCGGUACCGGAAUAGAAAGCCACGGCUAACUACGUGCCAGCAGCCGCGGUAAUAC